rnacentral:rRNA from 1 species
GAUGAACGCUGGCGGCGUGCCUAAUACAUGCAAGUCGAGCGAACGGACGAGAAGCUUGCUUCUCUGAUGUUAGCGGCGGACGGGUGAGUAACACGUGGAUAACCUACCUAUAAGACUGGGAUAACUUCGGGAAACCGGAGCUAAUACCGGAUAAUAUUUUGAACCGCAUGGUUCAAAAGUGAAAGACGGUCUUGCUGUCACUUAUAGAUUGAUCCGCGCUGCAUUAGCUAGUUGGUAAGGUAACGGCUUACCAAGGCAACGAUGCAUAGCCGACCUGAGAGGGUGAUCGGCCACACUGGAACUGAGACACGGUCCAGACUCCUACGGGAGGCAGCAGUAGGGAAUCUUCCGCAAUGGGCGAAAGCCUGACGGAGCAACGCCGCGUGAGUGAUGAAGGUCUUCGGAUCGUAAAACUCUGUUAUUAGGGAAGAACAUAUGUGCAAGUAACUGUGCACAUCUUGACGGUACCUAAUCAGAAAGCCACGGCUAACUACGUG